UUUCUCUGUUUCUCUAGAGAAACUCCAGACAGAACAGUGGAUCAACGGAGAGAUGAGUGAUGCUCAGUGCAAUGCUCAGGCCAAAGAACGACAGCUUGAGGUGGGAAGGAGCUCUUGAAGACCCCACUGCAGAGGCCCAACGGUUGGAGGUCUACAGAGCCAACCGCCAUAAACGUUAUAUGGCAUCAAGACAGGCUUUUCUACAAAAUAUUCAGACUGGUCUAAGUAUAGACUCAAACUCUUCAAAACUAAAUACACUAAGCAUAGACUCAAACUCUUCAAAACUAAAUACACGAAACAAGUCUGGAGUUUUAACAUGA
rnacentral:lncRNA from 1 species